CCUACGGGCGACAGCAGUGAGGAAUAUUGGUCAAUGGGCGCUAGCCUGAACCAGCCAAGUAGCGUGAAGGAUGACUGCCCUAUGGGUUGUAAACUUCUUUUAUAUGGGAAUAAAGUGCACUAUGUAUACUGCUUUGCAUGUACCUUAUGAAUAAGGAUCGGCUAACUCCGUGCCAGCAGCCGCGGUAAUACGGAGGAUCCGAGCGUUAUCCGGAUUUAUUGGGUUUAAAGGGAGCGUAGGCGGGUUGUUAAGUCAGUUGUGAAAGUUUGCGGCUCAACCGUAAAAUUGCAGUUGAUACUGGCAGCCUUGAGUACAGUAGAGGUAGGCGGAAUUCGUGGUGUAGCGGUGAAAUGCUUAGAUAUCACGAAGAACUCCGAUUGCGAAGGCAGCCUGCUGGACUGUAACUGACGCUGAUGCUCGAAAGUGUGGGUAUCAAACAGGAUUAGAUACCCUUGUAGUC
rnacentral:rRNA from 1 species